rnacentral:rRNA from 1 species
AUUGAACGCUGGCGGAAUGCUUUACACAUGCAAGUCGAACGGCAGCACGGGGGCAACCCUGGUGGCGAGUGGCGAACGGGUGAGUAAUACAUCGGAACGUGCCCAGUCGUGGGGGAUAACGUAGCGAAAGCUACGCUAAUACCACAUACGAUCUACGGAUGAAAGCGGGGGAUCGCAAGACCUCGCGCGAUUGGAGCGGCCGAUGGCAGAUUAGGUAGUUGGUGGGGUAAAGGCUCACCAAGCCGACGAUCUGUAGCUGGUCUGAGAGGACGACCAGCCACACUGGGACUGAGACACGGCCCAGACUCCUACGGGAGGCAGCAGUGGGGAAUUUUGGACAAUGGGCGCAAGCCUGAUCCAGCCAUUCCGCGUGCAGGAUGAAGGCCCUCGGGUUGUAAACUGCUUUUGUACGGAACGAAACGGCUCUCUCUAAUACAGGGGGCUAAUGACGGUACCGUAAGAAUAAGCACCGGCUAACUACGUGCCAGCCGCCGCAGUAA